CAGGUGUUAAGGCAGAUGUGGAGGCACACGGGUGACACCAGACACACCCAAGCACAUUAUGUUCGGACAUCCAAUCAUGACAGGAUCCAGGUGGAUGCUGUCCAUUGAGAAAAGAGUUUGUUCAGCGGUUUCUGGAUAGAAUUAAUUCCAAAGAUGGGAAAAAGUGCACAUCCAGACAAGGAGCAAGCAAAAAGACAAGGAACUUGGUGCAGAGAAAAGCUGUGGCCAUUAACCCCCAUGUGAACAGCUUCAUGCAGUCCCUGAUUGAGUUCGAAUGGACGACUUCAAAGUAAAGGCCACUGUGGUCUGUCUGCCACAGUUUAAUUUUUAAUUUAUUUUUAGUGUUCAAUGAAAUUCAAGUAGAAUAUUUAAAACUAUGGGCCAGUGUUCUUUUUACCACAGUGAAAUGUUACCUUUUAGUCGAUGAUGGACUUUAAACUGAAAACUUCAAACUAUGGACCAGUGUCCUAUUUGCCAGAGUUAAAUAUGUUACAGCAGGGUUCUCCAAACUUGU